CCUACGGGAGGCUGCAGUAGGGAAUCUUCCACAAUGGACGCAAGUCUGAUGGAGCAACGCCGCGUGAGUGAAGAAGGUCUUCGGAUCGUAAAACUCUGUUGUUAGAGAAGAACACGAGUGAGAGUAACUGUUCAUUCGAUGACGGUAUCUAACCAGCAAGUCACGGCUAACUACGUGCCAGCAGCCGCGGUAAUACGUAGGUGGCAAGCGUUGUCCGGAUUUAUUGGGCGUAAAGGGAACGCAGGCGGUCUUUUAAGUCUGAUGUGAAAGCCUUCGGCUUAACCGGAGUAGUGCAUUGGAAACUGGAAGGCUUGAGUGCAGAAGAGGAGAGUGGAACUCCAUGUGUAGCGGUGAAAUGCGUAGAUAUAUGGAAGAACACCAGAGGCGAAAGCGGCUCUCUGGUCUGUAACUGACGCUGAGGUUCGAAAGCGUGGGUAGCGAACAGGAUUAGAUACCCCGGUAGUC
rnacentral:rRNA from 1 species